CCUACGGGAGGCAGCAGUGGGGAAUAUUGGACAAUGGGCGCAAGCCUGAUCCAGCCAUACCGCGUGGGUGAAGAAGGCCUUCGGGUUGUAAAGCCCUUUUGUUGGGAAAGAAAAGCAUUCGGUUAAUACCCGGGUGUUCUGACGGUACCCAAAGAAUAAGCACCGGCUAACUUCGUGCCAGCAGCCGCGGUAAUACGAAGGGUGCAAGCGUUACUUGGAAUUACUGGGCGUAAAGCGUGCGUAGGUGGUGGUUUAAGUCCGUUGUGAAAGCCCUGGGCUCAACCUGGGAAUUGCAGUGGAUACUGGAUCACUCGAGUGUGGUAGAGGAUAGUGGAAUUUCCGGUGUAGCAGUGAAAUGCGUAGAGAUCGGAAGGAACAUCUGUGGCGAAGGCGACUAUCUGGGCCAACACUGACACUGAGGCACGAAAGCGUGGGGAGCAAACAGGAUUAGAUUCCCUGGUAGUCCACGCCCUAAACGAUGCGAACUGGAUGUUGGGUUCAACUUAGAACCCAGUAUCGAACCUAACGUAUUAAGAUAGCAAAAUCCUUUAAAUUUUUUUUUUUA
rnacentral:rRNA from 1 species